GACGAACGCUGGCGGCGUGCCUAAUACAUGCAAGUUGAGCGCUGAAGGUUGGUACUUGUACCAACUGGAUGAGCAGCGAACGGGUGAGUAACGCGUGGGGAAUCUGCUUUUGAGCGGGGGACAACAUUUGGAAACGAAUGCUAAUACCGCAUAAAAACUUUAAACACAAGUUUUAAGUUUGAAAGAUGCAAUUGCAUCACUCAAAGAUGAUCCCGCGUUGUAUUAGCUAGUUGGUGAGGUAAAGGCUCACCAAGGCGAUGAUACAUAGCCGACCUGAGAGGGUGAUCGGCCACAUUGGGACUGAGACACGGCCCAAACUCCUACGGGAGGCAGCAGUAGGGAAUCUUCGGCAAUGGACGAAAGUCUGACCGAGCAACGCCGCGUGAGUGAAGAAGGUUUUCGGAUCGUAAAACUCUGUUGGUAGAGAAGAACGUUGGUGAGAGUGGAAAGCUCAUCAAGUGACGGUAACUACCCAGAAAGGGACGGCUAACUACGU
rnacentral:rRNA from 1 species